GGCAGCCCUGUAGUAUAAUGGAUAUGGCUCUGAUGCUUCCAUCUCAGAGGUGGUGAGUUCGAUUCCCACUGCUGUCA